UACGAAGGGGGCUAGCGUUGCUCGGAAUCACUGGGCGUAAAGAGUGUGUAGGCGGUGCUCUAAGUUCGGGUGUGAAAUCUCCUGGCUCAACUGGGAGGGUGCGCCGGAAAACUGGAGUGCUUGAGCGUGGGAGAGGAAAGCGGAAUUCCUGGUGUAGCGGUGAAAUGCGCAGAUAUCAGGAGGAACACCAAUGGCGAAGGCAGCUCGCUGGGACGGUACUGACGCUGAGACGCGAAAGCGUGGGGAGCAAACAGG
rnacentral:rRNA from 1 species